GCUGGGCGGAUUAGUGGCGAACGGGUGAGUAACACGUGAGUAACCUGCCCUUGACUCUGGGAUAAGCCCGGGAAACUGGGUCUAAUACCGGAUAGGAGCGCCUGUCGCAUGACGGGUGCUGGAAAGAUUUUUCGGUCAUGGAUGGACUCGCGGCCUAUCAGCUUGUUGGUGAGGUAACGGCUCACCAAGGCGACGACGGGUAGCCGGCCUGAGAGGGUGACCGGCCACACUGGGACUGAGACACGGCCCAGACUCCUACGGGAGGCAGCAGUGGGGAAUAUUGCGCAAUGGGCGGAAGCCUGAUGCAGCGACGCCGCGUGAGG
rnacentral:rRNA from 1 species